rnacentral:tRNA from 1 species
GGGCGACUAGCUCAGUUGGUUAGAGCGNNGAAGGUCAUAGGUUCGAGUCCUAUGCCGCCCA